rnacentral:rRNA from 1 species
UUUAACUGAAGAGUUUGAUCAUGGCUCAGAUUGAACGCUGGCGGCAGGCUUAACACAUGCAAGUCGAGCGGGGGAAGGUAGCUUGCUACUGGACCUAGCGGCGGACGGGUGAGUAAUGCUUAGGAAUCUGCCUAUUAGUGGGGGACAACAUCUCGAAAGGGAUGCUAAUACCGCAUACGUCCUACGGGAGAAAGCAGGGGAUCUUCGGACCUUGCGCUAAUAGAUGAGCCUAAGUCGGAUUAGCUAGUUGGUGGGGUAAAGGCCUACCAAGGCGACGAUCUGUAGCGGGUCUGAGAGGAUGAUCCGCCACACUGGGACUGAGACACGGCCCAGACUCCUACGGGAGGCAGCAGUGGGGAAUAUUGGACAAUGGGGGGAACCCUGAUCCAGCCAUGCCGCGUGUGUGAAGAAGGCCUUAUGGUUGUAAAGCACUUUAAGCGAGGAGGAGGCUACUUUAGUUAAUACCUAGAGAUAGUGGACGUUACUCGCAGAAUAAGCACCGGCUAACUCUGUGCCAGCAGCCGCGGUAAUACAGAGGGUGCGAGCGUUAAUCGGAUUUACUGGGCGUAAAGCGUGCGUAGGCGGCUUAUUAAGUCGGAUGUGAAAUCCCCGAGCUUAACUUGGGAAUUGCAUUCGAUACUGGUGAGCUAGAGUAUGGGAGAGGAUGGUAGAAUUCCAGGUGUAGCGGUGAAAUGCGUAGAGAUCUGGAGGAAUACCGAUGGCGAAGGCAGCCAUCUGGCCUAAUACUGACGCUGAGGUACGAAAGCAUGGGGAGCAAACAGGAUUAGAUACCCUGGUAGUCCAUGCCGUAAACGAUGUCUACUAGCCGUUGGGG